rnacentral:rRNA from 1 species
GUAGGUGGCAAGCGUUGUCCGGAAUUAUUGGGCGUAAAGCGCGCGCAGGCGGUUCUUUAAGUCUGAUGUGAAAGCCCACGGCUCAACCGUGGAGGGUCAUUGGAAACUGGAGAACUUGAGUACAGAAGAGGAAAGCGGAAUUCCACGUGUAGCGGUGAAAUGCGUAGAGAUGUGGAGGAACACCAGUGGCGAAGGCGGCUUUCUGGUCUGUAACUGACGCUGAGGCGCGAAAGCGUGGGGAGCAAACAGGGAUUAGAUACCCUGGUAGUCCACGCCGUAAACGAUGAGUGCUGAGUGUUAGGGGGGUUUCCGCCCCCCUUAGUGCUGCAGCUAACGCAUUAAGCACUCCGCCUGGGAGUACGGCCGCAAGGCUG